rnacentral:rRNA from 1 species
GCGUUAUCCGGAUUCACUGGGUUUAAAGGGUGCGUAGGUGGGCAGGUAAGUCAGUGGUGAAAUCUCCGGGCUUAACCCGGAAACUGCCAUUGAUACUAUUUGUCUUGAAUACUGUGGAGGUCAGCGGAAUAUGUCAUGUAGCGGUGAAAUGCUUAGAUAUGACAUAGAACACCAAUUGCGAAGGCAGCUGGCUACACAAAUAUUGACACUGAGGCACGAAAGCGUG